UACGGGAGGUGCAAGCGUUGUUCGGAGUGACUGGGCGUAAAGCGCACGUAGGUGGGCUUGUAAGUCGAAUGUGAAAUCCCCGGGCUCAACCUGGGAAUGGCAUUGGAAACUAGCGGGCUGGAGUGUGGCAGAGGGGGGUGGAAUUCCACGUGUAGCAGUGAAAUGCGUAGAGAUGUGGAGGAACACCGAUGGCGAAGGCAGCCCCCUGGGCUAACACUGACGCUCAUGCACGAAAGCGUGGGGAGCAAACAGG
rnacentral:rRNA from 1 species